UACGGGGGGGGCAAGCGUUGUUCGGAAUUACUGGGCGUAAAGGGUUCGUAGGUGGCUCGCUAAGUCACACGUGAAAUCCCUCAGCUUAACUGGGGAACUGCGUGUGAGACUGGCAAGCUCGAGUGCAGGAGAGGAAUGCGGAAUUCCAGGUGUAGCGGUGAAAUGCGUAGAUAUCUGGAGGAACACCGGUGGCGAAGGCGGCAUUCUGGACUGCAACUGACACUGAGGAACGAAAGCCAGGGGAGCAAACGGG
rnacentral:rRNA from 1 species